UGAGUACGAAACAAUACGACUAAUACAUUUCUAUUUGUUUCAAAUAGAUAAAACAUUUUUUUUUCUAUACUUUCAGUUUUCACUCUAACCCUCAAAAACCAACCAACAAAACAAAAAUGGGCGCUGAAAAGGUAUCCAUGAACAUCGUUGUCGUCGGACAAGUCCAAUCUGCCAAGGCCAUCAAGACCGUCGCCAAGGCCACACCAGCAACUAGCCAACUGGUGAACUGCUAAUUCGUGUGUUCCAUAAAUCUCAAAACUCAACAAUGCCAUAGCCCAAACAGUACAAUAAUAUGUAAUUCAUAUAUCAGUAUUGACACCGCCAAAUAAAUCAGUUAUUUCCGAUGAAUAUAAUAUAA